rnacentral:rRNA from 1 species
UACGGGGGGGGCAAGCGUUGUUCGGAAUUACUGGGCGUAAAGGGCUUGUAGGUGGCCAACUAAGUCAGACGUGAAAUCCCACGGCUUAACCGAGGAACUGCGUCUGAUACUGGAUGGCUUGAGUUCGGGAGAGGGAUGCGGAAUUCCAGGUGUAGCGGUGAAAUGCGUAGAUAUCUGGAGGAACACCGGUGGCGAAGGCGGCAUCCUGGACCGACACUGACACUGAGGAGCGAAAGCCAGGGGAGCAAACGGG